rnacentral:rRNA from 1 species
CGAAUGGCUCAUUAUAUAAGUUAUCGUUUAUUUGAUAGUACCUUACUACUUGGAUAACCGUGGUAAUUCUAGAGCUAAUACAUGCUAAAAAUCCCGACUCCGGAAGGGAUGUAUUUAUUAGAUUAAAAACCAAUGCCCUCUGGGCUCCUUGGUGAUUCAUGAUAACUUUUCGAAUCGCACGGCCUUGCGCCGGCGAUGGUUCAUUCAAAUUUCUUCCCUAUCAACUUUCGAUGUUUGGGUAUUGGCCAAACAUGGUUGCAACGGGUAACGGAGGGUUAGGGCUCGACCCCGGAGAAGGAGCCUGAGAAACGGCUACUACAUCCAAGGAAGGCAGCAGGCGCGCAAAUUACACAAUUCCGACACGGAGAUGUAGUGACAAUAAAUACUGAUACAGGGCUCUUUUGGGUCUUGUAAUUGGAAUGAGUACAAUUUAAAUCCCUUAACGAGGAACAAUUGGAGGGCAAGUCUGGUGCCAGCAGCCGCGGUAAUUCCAGCUCCAAUAGCGUAUAUUAAAGUUGUUGUGGUUAAAAAGCUCGUAGUUGAACCUUGGGCCUGGCUGGCUGGUCCGCCUCACCGCGAGAACUGGUCCGGCCGGGUCUUUCCCUCUGUGGAACCCCAUGCCCUUCACUGGGCGUGGCGGGGAAACAGGACUUUUACUUUGAAAAAAUUAGAGUGCUCCAGGCAGGCCUAUGCUCGAAUACAUUAGCAUGGAAUAAUGAAAUAGGACGCGUGGUUCUAUUUUGUUGGUUUCUAGGACCGCCGUAAUGAUUAAUAGGGACAGUCGGGGGCAUCAGUAUUCAAUUGUCAGAGGUGAAAUUCUUGGAUUUAUUGAAGACUAACUACUGCGAAAGCAUUUGCCAAGGAUGUUUUCAUUAAUCAGGAACGAAAGUUAGGGGAUCGAAGACGAUCAGAUACCGUCGUAGUCUUAACCAUAAACUAUGCCGACUAGGGAUCGGACGAUGUUAUUUUUUGACGCGUUCGGCACCUUACGAGAAAUCAAAGUGCUUGGGCNNCAGGGGGAG